rnacentral:rRNA from 1 species
AACGAACGCUGGCGGCAUGCCUAACACAUGCAAGUCGAACGAGAAGUCCGGGUCUUGUGGCGCAUGGCGGCGUGAGGCGUGGGAAGCUGCCCAUGGGUUCGGACUACCUACCUGAAUGGGAUGUUAAUGCAGCAUAAGGUCUUAGGACCAAUGAUUUAUUGCAUCUGGAUGGGCCUGAGUUGGAUUCGGUAGUUGGUAGGGUAAAAGCAUAACAAGGCGACGAUUCUUAGCUUGUCAGAGAGGAUGAUCAGCCACACUAGGAGGGGGACGCGGCCCAGAAUCUUACGCGAGGGAGCAGUGGGUAAUAUUGGACAAUGGGCGAAGGCAUGAACGCGCAGUGACGCGUAAGUGAUGAAGGCCUUAGGGUUCUAAAGCUGUUUUACCCGGGAUGAUAAUGACAGUACCGGGAGAAUAAGCUCCGGCUAACUCCGUG